GGCUGAAAGUGGCUGGUUGCGGGUCGAGCUGUUUCUCAAAGUACACCCGAGAGGUUCUGAGUCAUUGCGGUCCGGAGUGGGACUAGGCGUGUGUAUUACACUCGACUGCCUUCUCCUGUGAGAAGCUUUUGAAGGAUGUUUUGAAGCAAAUUUACCCCCUUACCAACUCGGCGGAACACCUGAGGUGACCCCGAUCCGAGGGCCCCCGUACCGGAUGAAGUCCUGGCAUCGGAGGUUGGGUUCUUCACCAGAGAUAUCAACAAAGUACAAAUUUCCACAGGGCGUCAGACCCCCAUCCUCCCCCACCCCCUUGUUUUCUCUAUUUUAGGGACUGAGAGGGACUUUGUUUCCCUUUAAAGGUACCAAGAUUCCAGACACCACCCUCCGCCCUCCAUUCCGAAUCCUGAGGUUUAAUUUGCCAUUGAUAUUUAUGGAAUGGUGAGGCCUUUUUGCAUCAUGUUAAGGGACAAUUAAAGACAUUUUCAGAUGACAAACAAAAACAGGGAGUUAACCACCAUCGGCCCUCACUAAGGAAACUUCUGAAGUAUUUACCUAAGAAAGAAGGAAACUGAACCCAAAAGGAAAUAGUAAGAUGCAAGAAGAGAUGUCUUCAAGCCAUUUGGAGGAAGAGCAAGGUGCCUGCAAUGAAGAGAAGGACUGGUGGCCCAGAGUGGAAUGUCUCUUGUAUUCCCUGCU